UACGUAGGCAGCAAGCGUUGUUCGGAGUUACUGGGCGUAAAGGGAGCGUAGGCGGAUUUUUAAGUGAGAUGUGAAAUACCCGGGCUCAACUUGGGUGCUGCAUUUCAAACUGGAAGUCUAGAGUGCAGGAGAGGAGAGUGGAAUUCCUAGUGUAGCGGUGAAAUGCGUAGAGAUUAGGAAGAACACCAGUGGCGAAGGCGACUCUCUGGACUGUAACUGACGCUGAGGCUCGAAAGCGUGGGGAGCAAACAGG
rnacentral:rRNA from 1 species